UUGAACGCUGGCGGCAGGCCUAACACAUGCAAGUCGAGCGGUAGCACAGAGAGCUUGCUCUCGGGUGACGAGCGGCGGACGGGUGAGUAAUGUCUGGGAAACUGCCUGAUGGAGGGGGAUAACUACUGGAAACGGUAGCUAAUACCGCAUAAUGUCGCAAGACCAAAGUGGGGGACCUUCGGGCCUCAUGCCAUCAGAUGUGCCCAGAUGGGAUUAGCUAGUAGGUGGGGUAACGGCUCACCUAGGCGACGAUCCCUAGCUGGUCUGAGAGGAUGACCAGCCACACUGGAACUGAGACACGGUCCAGACUCCUACGGGAGGCAGCAGUGGGGAAUAUUGCACAAUGGGCGCAAGCCUGAUGCAGCCAUGCCGCGUGUGUGAAGAAGGCCUUCGGGUUGUAAAGCACUUUCAGCGGGGAGGAAGGCGGUGAGGUUAAUAACCUCAUCGAUUGACGUUACCCGCAGAAGAAGCACCGGCUAACUCCGUGCCAGCAGCCGCGGUAAUACGGAGGGUGCAAGCGUUAAUCGGAAUUACUGGGCGUAAAGCGCACGCAGGCGGUCUGUCAAGUCGGAUGUGAAAUCCCCGGGCUCAACCUGGGAACUGCAUUCGAAACUGGCAGGCUAGAGUCUUGUAGAGGGGGGUAGAAUUCCAGGUGUAGCGGUGAAAUGCGUAGAGAUCUGGAGGAAUACCGGUGGCGAAGGCGGCCCCCUGAACAAAGACUGACGCUCAGGUGCGAAAGCGUGGGGAGCAAACAGGAUUAGAUACCCUGGUAGUCCACGCCGUAAACGAUGUCGAUUUGGAGGUUGUGCCCUUGAGGCGUGGCUUCCGGAGCUAACGCGUUAAAUCGACCGCCUGGGGAGUACGGCCGCAAGGUUAAAACUCAAAUGAAUUGACGGGGGCCCGCACAAGCGGUGGAGCAUGUGGUUUAAUUCGAUGCAACGCGAAGAACCUUACCUGGUCUUGACAUCCACAGAACUUUCCAGAGAUGGAUUGGUGCCUUCGGGAACUGUGAGACAGGUGCUGCAUGGCUGUCGUCAGCUCGUGUUGUGAAAUGUUGGGUUAAGUCCCGCAACGAGCGCAACCCUUAUCCUUUGUUGCCAGCGGUUAGGCCGGGAACUCAAAGGAGACUGCCAGUGAUAAACUGGAGGAAGGUGGGGAUGACGUCAAGUCAUCAUGGCCCUUACGACCAGGGCUACACACGUGCUACAAUGGCAUAUACAAAGAGAAGCGACCUCGCGAGAGCAAGCGGACCUCAUAAAGUAUGUCGUAGUCCGGAUUGGAGUCUGCAACUCGACUCCAUGAAGUCGGAAUCGCUAGUAAUCGUAGAUCAGAAUGCUACGGUGAAUACGUUCCCGGGCCUUGUACACACCGCCCGUCACACCAUGGGAGUGGGUUGCAAAAGAAGUAGGUAGCUUAACCUUCGGGAGGGCGCUUACCACUUUGUGAUUCAUGACUGGGGUG
rnacentral:rRNA from 1 species